AUUAUAUUUGUUUAGUUAAAUUGUAAGUUAGAUUUGGAAAGAUUUGUUUUAAGUCCUGUAUUUGAUUCCGGGAAGCU